rnacentral:rRNA from 1 species
AUAAUCAGGAAUCUAACCAUGUGAACUUGCACUCCCGUCAGAUCUCACAAGCUAAGCAUGGUCAGGUCAAGUUCUGGGAUAGGAGACCACCAAGGCAUCACUACAUGGUGCUG